CCUACGGGAGGCAGCAGUAAGGAAUAUUGGGCAAUGGGCGAAAGCCUGACCCAGCAACGCCGCGUGCGCGAUGAAGGUCUUCGGAUCGUAAAGCGCUUUUCUGCGAGAUGAGAAAGGACAGUAUCGUAGGAAUAAGUCUCGGCUAACUACGUGCCAGCAGCCGCGGUAACACGUAGGAGGCAAGCGUUAUCCGGAUUUACUGGGCGUAAAGCGCGUGCAGGCGGUUCGGUAAGUUGGAUGUGAAAGCUCCUGGCUCAACUGGGAGAGGUCGUUCAAUACUCCCGGACUUGAGAGCAGUAGAGGGAGAUGGAAUUCCCGGUGUAGUGGUAAAAUGCGUAGAUAUCGGGAGGAACACCAGUGGCGAAAGCGGUCUCCUGGA
rnacentral:rRNA from 1 species